GACAGAGGGGGCAAGCGUUGCUCGGAAUUACUGGGCGUAAAGGGCGCGUAGGCGGGCGGUCAAGUCGGAGGUGAAAGCCUGCAGCUCAACUGCAGAAGUGCCCCCGAUACUGAUCACCUCGAGGGAGGUAGGGGCGUGCGGAACUUCCGGUGGAGCGGUGAAAUGCGUAGAUAUCGGAAGGAACACCGGUGGCGAAAGCGG
rnacentral:rRNA from 1 species